CGAGCUUCUUGCGCGCGUCAUUGCGCGCGUCAGCACGCCUGUGCAACACUUGGUAGGUGUGAGGAGGCAGUGAUGCAAAUUCUCCUCCUUGGUGUGAUGUGACUCGUUGGUGUGACUAAACCCUAAACCGGAAGCAUAUCACGCAUAUGCGGUAAAGAACGGGGAAGAUGGCGCCUCCGCGUAUCGUGCGAACGCCAUCCGAGGAGCAGGAGCGGAGGUUUCGUUGUGCCGAAGCGAGACGCGCCCGCAUACGUGCCCUGACCGAGGAACAACGUGCCAAUGUGCGCGCGAUGAACGCUGCAGCGCAACGGCGGAGGCGCCAAAGACCCGAAGUGCGGGCACAAGAGGCCGCAGAACGCGUACGACGUAGAGAAGAGAUCAAACGGGAGGCAGAGGAAAAACGAAAACGCCAACAAAACGCUGCAGCGCGUGCGCGGGAUGCUGCAGCACAUCGCGAAGACGCGGCAGUGUUGGAACAGGAGGUAGAGGCAAGACCACAGCAGUUCACUGCAGUGUUUGUGAACGCCGAAGUGCAGCACGAACGGCGCCAAGAUGCGGCGGUGCGGGAACAGGAGGUAGAUGAAAAGCUGCGACAUCGACAGUGCGCUGCAGUGCGUGUGAAAACCGAAGCACAGGACGAAUGGCGUCAAGACGCAGUGCGGGAUCAGGAUAGUGAUGCACAUCACGAACGUCGCCAAGACGCGGCAGUGCUGGACUCGGAGGCAAGGCAACGUCAACGAGACCUUGUACUGUGUGCGCAAGAGGCUGAAGCACAUCACAAACGGUGCCAAGACGCAGCUUUACUGGAACAGAAGUUGGAGGCUAGGUUAAAACAUCGGCAGUGCAGCACAAUGCGUGUGAAUAUUGAAGCACAUCACAAACGGUGCCAAGACGCUGCAAUGUGGGCACAGGAGACAGAGGAGAGGCAGCGUCAACAAAACCAUGCAGUACGUGCGCAAGAUGCAGAAGCACAUCGCGAAUGGUCCAAAAGCGCGGCAGUGCGGGAUCAGAAGGCUGGAGAAAGCCAGAAAUGGUGUAAACAGGUUGCAGUGUGGUGGGAGCAGGAGGCCGAAGCACAUCGUGCAUGGCGCCACGACAUGGCAUUGUGGGAACAGGUGGCCGAAGGACGUCAUGAAUGGCACCAAGACGCGGCAGCGCUGGAACAAGAGGCAGAGCGACAGUGCAGCGCAGUGCUUGUGCAGCAGACCAAGGCACAUUGUGAACGGCAGCUAGAGGCGGCAGGGCGGGAGCAACAGGCAGAGGAAAGGCGACAACGCCGACAAGACCGUGUAGUACGUGCGCAAGAGGCCGAAGCACAUUGCAAACGGCGUCAAUGCCCUUCAGUGCGUGAACAUGACGCGCGCUCAAAACAACGACGACGCAUGGUGGAGAGCCUGCAGCGGCUAUACGCUGUUAUAUGUGCUACCAGCAGUCGUGGCACAACAGACCUACAGAGCAUUACACAGUGCAAGUGCAUUGGAAGUUGAUGUACAGACUUGGCAUUCAUUUUAAAAAUAGGGCCACAUAGCACUUUCCUCCGUGCCGCAUAGUUACCGAAAGUUUCUUUUGCUCUCACAUCCUGGAUUUUGCCAACUGAAGAAAAAACAGAACCAGAUAUAUGUGCCUGUCUGUAAACUUGGGAAACUUGGUUUUGCAUCUUCAAACUUGAGGCACAAAAGGACGAGGACACAGAGCACUUUGCAUGUCUUAUUCUGCCUCCAUCUCACUGUCUCCUUUUGCAUCUUAUGCCUUAUACAUACUUGCAACUGCAGUGCACAUAUUAAAAGUAAUCUUUGCAAUGAAGGUUACGGUGGCACCUUCUAUCAUAGGUAGGCAAAGCAAUCACUGCAAAUAAGAUAUGCACAGAGCAGCUUUGCCCUUCUGGUGACACAUAUGGUGCUGCUGUUCCUUCUGCAAGUGGACCACAUUAUUUUGUCUGGUAUUGUCGCACAUGAUAAGUAAAUACUGCAGCCCAACAUAAUAUUAAACGAAAUGCACCACAAAGUGUGAGCACAAUCACAUUAGUGGUUUAAAUGAAAAAUCUUUUUCUACCCAACUUCCUUUCCAAUGCAAGAUUCAGUAGAUAUCAAAAUGAUGAUAUUGACUGGAAUGUAUGCUUGGGUCGGUUGAUGUGACAUUAAUACCAGUGAAGCAGUUCGUAAAACGUGGACAGAGAGGAAGCUCCAAGCUUCAGCGCAUAUGAGCAGUGGGCUUCGUUCGUCUCCAAAGGCGACAUCAGUGCUUCGUGUUACCUUGUUUAAAUGGUGCUAGAAUAAAAUAGACACUGUGUCAAGCUGCUAAUGCAACUUUAAUAUUAAUGUUUAAUUCAGUUUUAGUUCCUGUUUCAAGGACUCGAAGCCUUCACAAAGUAAAAUCUGUAGCUGAAGAGGAUUGAAAGAAGGGGUCAAUUCUUGUUAUCGAGAAAUGGUGUGAAACAUGAGCCUGUCGGCGUCUCUUGUUGAGGCAUAGUCGGAUUUUAACCAAUCUUUCAUCUCCCUUUCUACCUCUGGUCAUUUUAGCACAAGGGUGGUAGCCAUUUGGUUGUGGUACAGCUUGCAGCGACCCUUUGCUGAAGAAACACAAAAACAUUCACAACUAAGAGCAUGCCUAUUCAUAGCCUUCAAAAACAAAAAAAAACAAAAACAAAAAACAGCUGCUUGAAAUUCGAACGAGAAGCAUAAGUUGCCGUUUAGUCCUCUCUGUCCAUAUGGGUGUCACUAUCUGAAAAAUGGCAAAAAGAAAAAUAGUACAGCAUAUGCAUGAUUUCACGCCAUGCGAAUAGAAGCACCCCAUCAAUCUCUGUCAUUUGGUUCCGCUAGAGAAGUGUUGUCAGCUCAAGCAUGCAAGCUUCUCAAUGACACCCCUGUCACGUGCUCAUGUCGCUGCUUGCAGAUGCUCCUCCAUUGCUCAGACGCUGUCGCUACUUGAAAAAGAGGCUUUGGGGCUCCCGCGAUAGCUGUCGUACCGCUUUUGUGCAGAAAUUGCUGUCAUGUAAAACAGCCUUCAAUCGGUGCUUUUGUAUCUGUCCCUACACUUUCUUUCUGUAUGUAUUCUUCAUUAAUUCAUCGGUUGUAAUGCUGGCAGUGGGUGACAAACUAAGAACACAGUGGUAAAUCCACUCUUGGCCAGCUUCAAAGUUUGUAUAGAUGUGCUAGUCAAUUACAUUCACUUAUUACUGUAAUGUCACAGCAGAGGCAAACUUUUUUCAGUAUUGCAGUUUCUCGGUUUCUAUGUUUUGGAGUGAGGAGCCACAUAUGGUAGGCACAGUUGUUUGUGGGCUGAGCUCGUACUGAAUUCUUACGUUGUCACCGAGUGUCACUUUCUGAAGUAUUCAAAUAACAUCAUGGCAGAGCCAGCCAUUAACUGCUGCGGUAAAAUGUCUCUGGUGAGAUUACAGUGUUCUAGUGCCACCGAGAGGCAGACAUGUUUGCUACUGAGCUGUCGCUUGAGGUUCGAUUUAAUAGUUCGUCUGGAGACCGCGAGGUGUACGACACACCUUCAGCAAUGUCUCUUGGGUACAUGUGUGUUUCAGAGGCAAGAAUAGUAAGCGCUUGACUAGCACUGACUAAAACUAGGUGAAAUUGGAGUGGUCAGUAACAAAAAUGAUGAAAUACUGAGCUAGCAAAAACGAAUUGUCACAAUUCACCACACAGUGGUGGCUACCUGCUGCUACUAACAAUGAAAUUUGGACUUUGAGACCGGUGAAGUGCAGGUCAGGUGACGAGAACAUGAUUGUGGCUUCAUGCACACAUUUCAUGCUCUCACCUUAUUUUCUACAUAGGGUAGCUAAAGGUUAUUUUUAGUUAUAUGCAUUUAUCCCCGUGUGAUUACUGCAACUUUACAUUUUUUUGUAAACGUUUCUUUCUCUCUGAUGUUCACAAUUGAUGCUGCUGCUGCAUGACUUGAUGGUAUAGAGGAUGUAAAUACACCAUAGCAGGGCCACCGUGAAUGUAACUUCACCUUUUGUCAUGGGAAGAUAAGCCCGGAUCAUGCCUUGUCUUCCGAGUUUUGCUGGUUCAAGACCGCUGCCCUGACACACUCGGCAUGCAGCAUUUUACCUUGCUCAACCAACCGCAAACCGGCUCUGUCCUCUUUGAACAUGACACGUCAAGUUGUUUGCAUGUGCCUUGAACAUCUCACCCAUCACAUUCCUGUGCCCCUCUGAAACCUGGACAGAGGUUCAAGAUGCACAGCUACAGAAAUGUUGCAAAGUGAGCUAGUCAUAGGGCUGUGGUAUUGGUAAUGAGCCUUUAAAGGAAACCAAAUUUGAAUUGUGAGGAGUUUCCUAGGGAUUUCUUCCCUCAAGUAAGCUGUGGCAACACAUGUGCUGUGGGGACCUCUGAAAGGACCUCUCACCUGGAAUAUUCAAGCAUGACAUCACCAUGUUCACGAUUCGGAACAACCCUGCAGUAUAAUUUCAGAAUGCACUGGGACUCGCUACCAGAGACUUCAGUGCUGAUGUCAUGGAUCAACCACAUUUUUUUUGUGUUUAUUCCCAUUGAAGUUGGUUUGUACAUGCUUUCGGGCAGCGCUUUACCUACUACCUACAGCAGCAGCUGUCUCAAUCUCAUCUCGGGAGGAAAAGUGACCCUGCAACUGUACUGCGUGCCAUUACCAAGCUACUUUAGCUUUCACAAUGUGGUACUUGCAGUGUUGGAGUGAAUAAAC